UCCUGACGCUGAAGUCGAAAGCUAGGGGAGCGAACGGGAUUAGAUACCCCGGUAGUCCUAGCUGUAAACGAUGGAUCCUGGCUAUGGGGGCUGUAAAUUCCCUCUGUGCCGAAGCAAACGCGUUAAGCAUCCCGCCUGGGGACUACGGCCGCAAGGCUAAAACUCAAACGAAUUGACGGGGGCCCGCACAAGCAGCGGAGCGUGUGGUUUAAUUCGAUGCUACACGAAGAACCUUACCUGGGUUUGACAUGCACGUGGUAGGGAACCGAAAGGGGACCGACCUUCGGGAGCGUGCACAGGUGCUGCAUGGCUGUCGUCAGCUCGUGCCGUGAGGUGUCGGAUUAAGUCCCGUAACGAGCGCAACCAUUGCCCUUAGUUACAAGUGUCUAAGGGGACUGCCCGGGACAACUGCCCGCAAGCUCGGGAUGACGUCAAGUCAGCAUGGCCUUUAUAUCCAGGGCUACACACACGCUACAAUGGCCGGUACAAUAGGUUGCGAAGUCGUGAGGCGGAGCCAAUCCUCAAAGCCGGUCUCAGUUCGAAUUGCAGUCUGCAACUCGACUGCAUGAAGCUGGAGUUGCUAGUAAUCGCAGGUCAGCUCUCCUCCAGGUGAUACGUUCCCGGGCAUUGACACACCGCCCGUCACGUCAUGGAAG
rnacentral:rRNA from 1 species